UACGUAGGUGGCAAGCGUUAUCCGGAUUUAUUGGGUGUAAAGGGCGUGUAGGCGGGAAUGCAAGUCAGGUGUGAAAACUAUGGGCUCAACCCAUAGCCUGCAUUUGAAACUGUAUUUCUUGAGUGCUGGAGAGGCAAUCGGAAUUCCGUGUGUAGCGGUGAAAUGCGUAGAUAUACGGAGGAACACCAGUGGCGAAGGCGGAUUGCUGGACAGUAACUGACGCUGAGGCGCGAAAGCGUGGGGAGCAAACAGG
rnacentral:rRNA from 1 species